rnacentral:rRNA from 1 species
CCUACGGGUGGCAGCAGUGAGGAAUAUUGGUCAAUGGAGGGAACUCUGAACCAGCCAAGCAGCGUGAAGGAUGACGGUCCUAUGCGUUGUAAACUGCUUUUAUCAGGGGACAAACUCAGUCACGUGUGCCUUACUGCAGGUACCGCAAGAAUAAGCAUCGGCUAAUUCCGUGCCAGCAGCCGCGGUAAUACGGAGGUUCCGGGCGUUAUCCGGAUUUAUUGGGUUUAAAGGGCGCGCAGGCCGCCCCUUAAGUGUGUGGUGAAAUGCCGCGGCUCAACCCUGGCACGGCAGCGCGAACUGGGGGGGUGGAGUGCGCCGGAGGGAGGCGGAAUGCGGGGUGUAGCGGUGAAAUGCUUAGAUAGCACGAAGAAC